UGACUUCAAAAUUGGUAGCUAGGGUUAGGGUUUCGGCAACUAGUUAUGGUUCUUCCAAAUCAACUAUAUAAAAGUGGCGGACUUCAAUCGCAAAUUCAACCAUUCAACUCGAAGCUGCCUCCAUUGCUUUUCCAGCAUGUCAAGCUAAAGCAUCUGCGAAAGGAUCAAUGGAUGGAAUGGAGUCCAAUAUAUCUUUGCAUCUGAUAUAUAGGUUAUGGAGCUCUUGACUUAAUUUGUACUUGAAAGCUCUAUAUUUGUAAAGUUUUACAUAUGAAUUAGUAUUGUAAGUACUCCAACCGUUAAGAGUUUGUUUUCUGCAAGAACAGUCUAUGGUUUCGAGGGUAUGAAUUAAAUUUUGUUGAAAUAAAGCUAUCAAUUUUACAUA